UUGAACGCUGGCGGCAUGCCUUACACAUGCAAGUCGAACGGUAGAGGGGCAACCCUUGAGAGUGGCGAACGGGUGAGUAAUAUAUCGGAACGUGCCCAGUCGUGGGGGGUAACGCAGCGAAAGCUGCGCUAAUACCGCAUACGAUCUAUGGAUGAAAGCGGGGGAUCGCAAGACCUCGCGCGAUUGGAGCGGCCGAUAUCAGAUUAGGUAGUUGGUGGGGUAAAAGCCCACCAAGCCGACGAUCUGUAGCUG
rnacentral:rRNA from 1 species